rnacentral:tRNA from 2 species
GGGCGUGUAGCUCAGCUGGUUAGAGCGCACGGUUCACAUCCGUGAGGUCACAGGUUCGAGUCCUGUCACGCCCACCA